GCGCCCGUAGCUCAGGGGAUAGAGCAACGGACUUCUAAUCCGUUGGUCGCUGGUUCGAAUCCAGCCGGGCGCGCCA
rnacentral:tRNA from 1 species